rnacentral:rRNA from 1 species
UACCUGGUUGAUCCUGCCAGUAGUCAUAUGCUUGUCUCAAAGAUUAAGCCAUGCAUGUCUGAGUACAGACCGAUCUAAGGUGAAACCGCGAAUGGCUCAUUAAAUCAGUCAUAAUUCCUUGGAUAGUGAAAAACUUCCUCGGAUAACUGUGGAAAAUCCAGAGCUAAUACGUGCAACCUGAGCUCCGACCUCGGCGCGAGCCUUGGGAAGAGCGCAUUUAUUAGAUUCAAAACUGACCGGCGUACUCCUCCGGGAUGCGUCGUUUGUCGAAAGUUUGAUGACUCCGGAUAACUUAGCCGAGCGCUCCGGUCCUUGAACCGGCGCCGUAUCUUUCAAGUGUCUGCCUUAUCAGCUUUCGAUUGUAGGUUAAACGCCUACAAUGGCUGUAACGGGUAACGGGGAAUCAGGGUUCGAUUCCGGAGAGGGAGCCUGAGAAACGGCUACCACAUCUAAGGAAGGCAGCAGGCACGCAAAUUACCCACUCCCAGUUCGGGGAGGUAGUGACGAAAAAUAACGAUGCGAGACUCUUCCGAGGCCUCGCAAUCGGAAUGAGUCCAUUUUAAAUCCUUGGACGAGGAUCCAUUGGAGGGCAAGUCUGGUGCCAGCAGCCGCGGUAAUUCCAGCUCCAAUAGCGUAUAUUAAAGUUGCUGCGGUUAAAAAGCUCGUAGUUGGACUUCCUAGAUCCAUUUCGCGAGCGAGUCGCUCGUUGAGCUAGCGUCUCGCGUAAGUCGCUCGAUGACGACGCGGUGCGCGGUUGGCUUCUCUCUUUCGGGAGGUCGUCUUCCCGCUCGCGCUCGGAAUCUUGAGGACGGCGAGGAGUUGUCUUCGAGUAUUGCUCGUUCGCGUUUGGUACAAUUAAAAUUUUGUCGGCUCGCUCGGAGUGCUCUUCACCGAGUGUUCCAGGGUGGCCGACACGUUCACUUUGAAAAAAUUAGAGUGCUUAAAGCGGGCUUAUACGUGGCCUGAAUGUCUGUGCAUGGAAUGAAGUAACAGGACCUCGAUUCUGUUUUUUUUGUCGGUUUUAUUGAACCGAGGUAAUGAUUAAAAGGGACAGACGGUGGCAUUAGUAUUGCGGCGCUAGAGGUGAAAUUCUUGGACCGCUGCAAGACUAACUACUGCGAAAGCAUUUUGCCGAGAAUGUUUUCAUUAAUCAAGAACGAAAGUUAGAGGAUCGAAGGCGAUCAGAUACCGCCCUAGUUCUAACCCUAAACUAUGCUAACUAGCGAUCCGCCGGAGUCAAUCCCACGACUCGGCGGGAAGCCCAGGGAAACCAAAGUCUUUGAGUUCCGGGGGAAGUAUGGUUGCAAAGCUGAAACUUAAAGGAAUUGACGGAAGGGCACCACCAGGAGUGGAGCCUGCGGCUUAAUUUGACUCAACACGGGAAACCUCACCAGGCCCGGACAUCAUAAGGAUUGACAGGUUGAGAGCUCUUUCUCGAUUUGAUGGGUGGUGGUGCAUGGCCGUUCUUAGUUGGUGGAGUGAUCUGUCUGGUUGAUUCCGAUAACGAACGAGACUCUACCCUACUAACUAGUCGGCGGAUCGUAACCCUGAGAUGGUUAGUUGACAUAGGUAGGAAUGUCCUAGGCGAGUUACUUUCGUCCGUGCGUGCGCGCGCGCGUUCUUAGAGAAUAUUUCGGUAUCGCUCGGGGAUGUGUCGUGUCGCGCGUUCGGUUCGGAGGCGGCUUCGUCGAAGCUUCUCUCUGAUUGUCGCUACUGCUGGGGGCGUCCGUCGCAAUGUAUCUUCUUAGAGGGAUCAGCGGCGUAUAGCGCACGAGAAAGAGCAAUAACAGGUCUGUGAUGCCCUUAGAUGUUCUGGGCCGCACGCGCGCUACAAUGUAGAGAUCAGCGUGCUUUCCCCCUCCGAAAGGAGCGGGUAACCCGUUGAAACCCCUACCCGAUUGGGAUUGGGGAUUGCAAAUAUUUCCCAUAAACGAGGAAUUCCCAGUAAGCGCGAAUCAUUAAUUCGCGCUGAUAUACGUCCCUGCCCCUUUGUACACACCGCCCGUCGCUACUACCGAUUGAAUGAUUCAGUGAGGGCAUCGGACUGGCGCCUUCGGUUUAGUAACAUAGACCUUAGGCUGACGGAAAGAUGUCCGAACUUGAUCAUUUAGAGGAAGUAAAAGUCGUAACAAGGUUUCCGUAGUGAACCUGCGGAAGGAUCAUUA